rnacentral:rRNA from 1 species
AUUGAACGCUGGCGGCAUGCUUUACACAUGCAAGUUGAACGGCAGCGCGGGGCAACCUGGCGGCGAGUGGCGAACGGGUGAGUAAUACAUCGGAACGUACCCAGAAGUGGGGGAUAACGUAGCGAAAGUUACGCUAAUACCGCAUACGUUCUACGGAAGAAAGUGGGGGACCUUCGGGCCUCAUGCUUUUGGAGCGGCCGGUGUCUGGUUAGCUAGUUGGGGAGGUAAAGGCUCACCAAGGCGACGAUCAGUGGCUGGUCUGAGAGGACGACCAGCCACACUGGGACGGAGACACGGCCCAGACUCCUACGGGAGGCAGCAGUGGGGAAUUUUGGACAAUGGGCGCAAGCCUGAUCCAGCAAUGCCGCGUGAGUGAAGAAGGCCUUCGGGUUGUAAAGCUCUUUUGUCAGGGAAGAAACGGCUGGGGUUAAUACCUUCGGCUAAUGACGGUACCUGAAGAAUAAGCACCGGCUAACUACGUGCCAGCCGCCGCAGUAA